UGUGCUGUUUCGUUCGCAACCGACACAUCACUAACGGUUUGGUGCAGAGGAGAGAAAAGGAGAAAAGAAGACGACAACGAUGAAGUUGAGAGAGGCGGUUUUAAAAGAAAGUUACCAAAUUUAGGGCUGAAUUUAUAUGGGCUACAACUGGAAAAGCAACGACGUCGACAUCCGUUCAGGAGGGUCGUGUGGAGAUCAAGAUGAACAACCACACCACAACAUAGAGGACAGCAUCUACUGGCUGAACCUGCUUGCUGCUGCUGCCCAUAUUUGAGCUGUGUAAAGCACCACAGCAAUGUGUCAAGGCAACACACCUGAGACAAAGAGCAGCUGCCACAAGCAGGUUCAUCCUCUUACCCAUUCUGUUUGUUGUUGGUUAUUUCCUUAAAAACUACGACUACGAUGGGCCAGUCUGAGGCAUGAAACUCCAGGGCUGAAAAUGAGUCCCACUCCGGCCCUCCUUUUUUUUCUUCAAUGUGGCCCUAAUACUCCUUGUUUUUAUCUCUCUUUUGAGGAUAAGAGCAAUGAUCCACUUAAAUUUCAUGAACAUCAAACAACCUUUAUCCUAACUCUUGCAUGCAUCUGGAGGUGCAGUGGAGCCCACUGUAAUCAAGAGACCCCUCCCCAUAGGGUUUUUUUGGAGUUGGAACAUGAAAAUUGGUACACAUGUGUAUGUUGUCCAGACGCACAUAAAAGUCUCUGGCACCAAUGGUCUACUCCAAACAGGAAGUCGCCCAUUUUGAUUUUGACUUGUCAUUUUGGCAUGAUUUCCACAUGUUGUAUUUUAACGAACUAGUCCUUGGGAUUUCAUGCAAUCGACUUCAAAUUUUUUACAGAUCAGCCACAGACCAUGCUGAUUAAAAGUUGUGCUCUGCAUGUGUGUAGGUCAAAGGGCGUGAGGACCCUAUUGUAAUCGCGCUGUUUAUUAUUAGGGCCUGAGCAGGUCACAGACCUGCAAGGUCCCUAUUGUUUUUCGAAUGAUUAUUAGGGCCCGAUCACCUAGGGGUGUGAGGACCCUAUUGAAAUGCAAGGAUUUUUUAUUAUUAUUAUUAUUAUUGUUAGCGCCCGAGCAACGACAAAGUCGUCCGUGAGGACCCUAUUGUAAUCGCACUGUUUAUUAUUAUUAUUAGGUCCCGAGCACCUAGCGGUACGAGGACCCUAUUGAAAUGCAAGGAUUUUUUAGUAUUAUUAUUAUUAUUAUUAUUAUUAGGGCCUGAGCACCUAGCAGAUUGGCUCCAAACUUGGUGUAUGUAAGCAUGACUACGUUGUGACCAAAAGUUAUCACAGGAUUUGCCCAAUGUUGAAUGGCGCACCUGCUGCUGAGCGUUGAAUCUUGAGGUCUCGCCAUGAAAAACGAAAUUGUUGUAGCUUUGGCAAAAAUGGUCCAAUCUCCACCAAACUCCACAUGAUUCAUAUUAGUCCCACCCUGAACACAUUUUCAUUACCAUAUCGCCUGAUACUCAUAGACCCACCGAGUGGCAACAGGAAGUAGGUCUCAUCAAACAUGUAUCUGAAAGUUACAUGCUGUGGUGUAUAUUUGAUGUACAAAAACAUGAUGUAUAAUUAGUGCGCUCUCCAACUCCCCCUAGUGGAAAGAGGAAGUGAUACAAAAUGUGAAAUAUGUUCUUCCAGCACUGUAUCAAAGAUAUGCUGAGUCACUCCUGCAUGCGAUAUCUAACUUUGAUAGAAAUGAACUGACGCGUCAGAAGGCAUCCUGCCAGCCCCCCCGAGUUGCGUGAAGGUGCGAGGGCCCGUUCAUCGCUGCUUGCAGCUUUAAUUAUCAUUAUUAUUAUUAUUAUUAUUCCUCCAAAUGAAUUGCCUUUUUGGGAGGCUUAACAUACCCGAAAACUUUGCACACAUCUCAGAAGUGGUGAAAAAUUUGAUAUUUUAAGGGUCUCGUGUGUGGGUUCCAAAAAAUGGCUCAGUAGCACCCCCUACAAAAGUUUGAGGAAACAGCCCUUGAAGCUAGUUUAACCUACAUGUAUGAAACUCGGCAGGCUUAUGUAACGCCCAGAGAUGUACAAAAAAGCCUGUUGGAGGCAUGCUCUAAACCCAGCAGGAAGUCAGCCAUUUUGAAUUUACUGUGCAAUUUUGGUGCAUUUUUGGCCAUUUUCAGGGGUCAUAAAUGAACAAACUAGUCCUAGAGAUUUCAUACGAUUGACUUCAAACCUUGGUCUGUCCCAUCCCAAGACCUUGAAGAUGAAAAGUUAUCAAAAGCUUGAGUUUUCGUCAAUGCGUGUGACCGUGGGAUGGCGUCAAAGUUAGGGGUCUCGCCACUAAACAGGAAGUAGUUUAUAACUCCAGCAUACAUGGUCCAAUUUUGGCCAAACUUCACAGGAUUGAUGACAGUCCUGCCCUGAACACAUCUACAUGUCAAUAAUUAGAGAUAAACAUAGCGCCCCCUACUGGCAAUGGGAAAUGUCAUGUUUUAGACUUUAAUGUACAUCUCCUACAGACUUGACCAGAUCCACUUCAAACUUGGUGAAAAAAAGUCAUAAGACGCUGAUGAUGCUUUAUUGUGGAAACUGUGAGUUUUCGUCAAAGGGCAUGGCCAUGGCCUGGCGGCGAACUUUGAUGUUUUGCCGUGAUGAUAAACGUUGUUGUAACUUGACUCCACGUGGGAAUAACUUGCCAAAACUUCACACAUAUGAUGAAAGUCCAGCCCUGAACACAUCUACAGAGGAAUUUUGAAUCACCGCCAUAGCGCUACCUACUGGCAACAGAAAGCUACUUUAUACAUUCUUUGAUGUCCCUCUUCUAGCAGGUUAAUCAGACCCACCUCAUGCAGCAAAUGGUUGCAAGCCUACAACCGCUGCGGCGAGGCAUUGCCUCUGUACAUGGGGCACCGGCACUAUCCACUCCACUAGUGACGUCCUCUAUGUUUCAUUUUUGUUGAUGAGAUGAGAUGUGAUGAAAAUGUUAGUGGUGGACUUUCAGACAUUGAAAGCUGAGAAUGGCCGUGCUUGUAAUUAUCUUCAAAUGAGCGUCAGACUGGUAACUCUGCUAUUAGUCUGUGCAAGGAUGUUUAACUAGCCAGCAAAAACACACACAGUGGAGCAGCAGCUGUUGGUGUGAGUUGUGAGCUGUAAUUCAGGAGUAAAUAAUCAGCCAUGUGUGUCUGACUGUGGACGGUGGAGCUGCUGAAUGGAUUUGUGGAGUUUGUUAGUUGCAGUGGUGGCUGUUGGCAGUUAGCUCCCCUUGUUAGCUGCUGACAGUCCAGACUGUCUCUGGAAGCUUUAAGGUUUGAUGCUGUUUGUCAGGCACGUAGGAGGCUCAGUUAUCUGUGAGUGUAGCUGUGUUGUAAGUAAACAGUCUGAACUCAGAUCAGUUUUCUCUGACAGAGAUAAAAGUUUAGUUUUAAUCACCAACUCUGAGACAUGUGACUUUAAACCUCCAGACUAACAUGUUGCAGAUUAAGAAGGAAUACUGCCACAAAUUUCCACAUGCUCUGCAUUAAGUGUAUUGAAAUGAUGAAUGGUGUGCUGGCACCAUAUUUUUCUAAACAGUUGGUGGAUGUUGCUGGUGACUAGAAAUACACUUUUCUCCUUGACAAAUUAACUGAAAUACGCAUGUCAAAAUACCUUGGUGUUUUGACUGCUACUUUGAUGAAGAGAAGGGAAAGGUGCUCUCCACGAUUUUAGGGUGGAUUGAGUUGUAGAUUAGAAAUGUCAGGUCAAUGACCAGAGUGGUUUUGGCUUUCCUUGAGAAACGUGCCCUCAAAAAACAGAAACAGAAAACUAGGGCUGGGUAUCGAUUCAGAUUUUCCAGAUCGAUUCGAUUUUCAAGGACUCAGUUCGAUCCGAUUCACGAUUCGAUUUGAUUAAAUUAAAUUCAGUUCAGUAUCGAUUCAGUCAAGUAUACUUCAAUUACGAUACAAAAUUUGCUUGGAUAUUAAAAUAUUUUCUGAGAACUAACGAAGUAUAUUUAACAAGGAACCCUCUGACCUGGUGCAAAAAAUUGAAAAUCUUUGCUUCCCAGUUUGUUUCUGGCGGCAGAGCAGAGUGAACCGUCUUUCUUCUCAGAGGAUCUUUGUCCCAUGAUAGCAGGCACGCUGCUCUCCGUGUCUGUGUAAACAACUUUUGCUGGCGAUUUGACAGUCACUAGAAGCACAUGAUGACCCUUUGUAAAAGUUUCUGUGUGGUACCUGUGUUGUACAUGAGCUAACGUUAGCGGCUAAGGAAGGACUGAGAGGCUGUCCGGUAUGUGUGUGUGUGUGUGUGUGUGUGUGUGUGAGUGUCUGAGGAGCGUCAUUACGUUAGCUUGUUAGCUGUAACGUUAGCCUUGUUGUUUGUCAUGUUAAUGUUAUCGUCAGCAGCCCUGAAUAGCUUGUAAAGCUUUAGCAUAAGUAGUUAACACAUUUGUUAUCUGCCCAUGUAUUUACUGCUACAGAAAAAUAAUAAAUCUUUGGGUUUUUUUGCACAACGUUGCCUCUCUGCCGUCUUUUAUCACGCUUGCUAACGCUAAGUUAACUUUACCAGCAGAUCUGUAUGAGGUAGCCUACAAACUGAGACUACAGUUAGCAGUGUGCUGAUGCUUAGUGGUAUUUCUUAAUCUUUUCUGUGAAACUAAUGUGCAUUUAACAAACAUGCGUACAUUAUUAGCGUUAGCCUAUAUUUUUAGGGGAAAAUGCGAGUGAGAAAAAUGUACUGUAGACCCAUGCCUUCAGUGGACGUGCUCCCACCGUUAUUUGCUGCUCUGUCUUCAUUCAGUGUCUGGCCAUCUCGCGAGAUCUCUUGGCAUGACCUCAAGUGCUAAAUGCUGAUCUCGCGAGACUACCUGGGUUGAUAGUACCGCAGGCUGCUGCAGGCUGCUACCGGCUGUACAACACAUACACGGAGGAAAAUAGUUAUAGUAAAAGAUCGAUUUUUUAAUUAAUGAAUCGAUAUUGUGCCAUUUAACGGAAAAUCUAUUCGAAUCGAUUAAAUAGAUUUUUUCAACCCAGCUCUACAGAAAACCUCCUGGCCACUGGCACAGAUAAUGCAUCUGUGAUGACAGGGGUGCACAAUGGGGUACACAAAAUUCUGAGUUAGAUAGAAAAUAAAUAGUUGGCCCUUUAUAAGCUGAUAGAUGCACAGUAUAGAACAAUAUCUUCUCAGAUUCCUUUCUGAUAUAUGCAUAAAUAGUUUCUGCUUCUCCCUCACUCUCUUUCCAACACACUCUCACUUUGACCUCAUAUUCACGUUUUAGUUUUGGUCAUGGACUUUUCACAUCCACAUUCGAUGUACAAGGUACUCUUGGUGCGUUGGUUGUUGAUGUUCUGGGACAUUGUGUGAAGUUCUGCCUGUUACAUGCAUCGUCUUCGUUCAAUAUACACUUGUGUUUUCACAGUAAAUUUAACAUUACAUACAAUCUCUUUCAAAAUAAAUGCACUAUGUUGGCACAACACUGCGAGUUGACUUCUUUUUUUUCUCCGUCAAACACAUAACUUUUGUCCUUG